GAGUUUGAUCCUGGCUCAGGACGAACGCUGGCGGCGCGCCUAACACAUGCAAGUCGAACGAGAGAGAAGGAGCUUGCUUCUUCGAUCGAGUGGCGAACGGGUGAGUAACGCGUGAGGAACCUGCCUCAAAGAGGGGGACAACAGUUGGAAACGACUGCUAAUACCGCAUAAGCCCACGGGUCGGCAUCGACCAGAGGGAAAAGGAGCAAUCCGCUUUGAGAUGGCCUCGCGUCCGAUUAGCUGGUUGGUGAGGUAAUGGCCCACCAAGGCGACGAUCGGUAGCCGGACUGAGAGGUUGAACGGCCACAUUGGGACUGAGACACGGCCCAGACUCCUACGGGAGGCAGCAGUGGGGAAUAUUGCACAAUGGGGGAAACCCUGAUGCAGCGACGCCGCGUGGAGGAAGAAGGUCUUCGGAUUGUAAACUCCUGUUGUUGAGGAAGAUAAUGACGGUACUCAACAAGGAAGUGACGGCUAACUACGUGCCAGCAGCCGCGGUAAAACGUAGGUCACAAGCGUUGUCCGGAAUUACUGGGUGUAAAGGGAGCGCAGGCGGGAAGACAAGUUGGAAGUGAAAUCCAUGGGCUCAACCCAUGAACUGCUUUCAAAACUGUUUUUCUUGAGUAGUGCAGAGCUAGGCAGAAUUUCCGGUGUAGCGCCGGAAUGCGUAGAUAUCGGGAGGAACACCAGUGGCGAAGGUGGCCUACUGGGCACCAACUGACGUUGAGGCUCGAAAGGGUGGGUAGCAAACAGGAUUAGAUACCCUGGUAGUCCACACCGUAAACGAUGAUUACUAGGUGUUGGAGGAUUGACCCCUUCAGUGCCGC
rnacentral:rRNA from 1 species